CACGAAAGCUGCACUCAAGUGAAUGAUGUGCUUUUCAAAGAAAUAUCUGAUCGAGCUCUGCCAAGUUAUGUUUGGCGUGCAGGAGUUCAAUGACAUCUGCCAGCAAAUAUCCCAGUCCAUGGGCGAUGCUUCUGGAACCCACAGCCUAUAAUGUCAUCAUGCAUACUAUACUAUAAAUGCAUGGAAUGAUGCAAGCCUUCUGAUCCCAGAUCUCUAUUCAAAAUAGACUUUGUCACCCGUUCACAUAUAAACAGAGCAGCGACACAACGUAAAGAAAUGUUGCUCUUGUGUGUGUGCCUUUACCCACUCUAGUUCAGUCCUUUAACAGAUAGACAUCAUCGCCCUUCAAGGAACAAUCAGUUUGGCUCGAGGAACGACUUUCUCCUUCCCCACGCCCCAGGUUUGGAAUGGCUGAUUUGUCUUACAUAUCUCAGCGAGAGAGAGCAGCUGGCUCGAAAUACGAUCUAAGAAUUAUUUGGGAGAAGAAAAUCGAGAAGCAGACGGAGUGGCUGGAGCAGGAGAGGCUGAGGCUGAGCAAGAGUGCCCUUAGUAGACUCAUCCAGGAAUGGAACCACAGAGUUGAAAGCAAAAAAAGGCUGAUGCAAACCAUUUUAGAAGAUGACAGAAAGAAAAAGAAAUCUGUGGUAUCAAUUGAAGCACCUGUUCAGCAAAUACCAUCCAGUGCUUAAUUGGUGAAGAUACAAUCAAGUCAAUCUAGGACAGGCAGCCAUCGUGAUAUUUAUCGAUUGCAGUGCAAAUGUGUAGUUUUAGAAGAUUGUGGCAUUCUGAAUUAACUCUAAUACAUUACCUAAUUCUUUACAAUAAUAUUCUUAUUAAAUCUGCUCAGUUUCCAAUAAUUUUCUGAUUUCAUGUGAAAAGUUAUUGCUUGAUUUAUUGCACUCUUAUUUAUAGAACACUUUAGAUUUAAUUUUUGUAAAUGUUAGUUACAGAAGUUAUGAAAGUUUGGGGUUUUAUACGUAAGAAAAUGUUUACAGGUAGCAGAAGUGGUCCUUAAUGAGGUAAUGGGUAAAAGCUAUGCAGUUACAGUGCAAUGAUUUUGAUAUGAGUGGCCUUAUAUUGUAAUUUAACUAAUGGAUGUAUUUACUGGGAUGGUAUUUGGUAUAUCCGGCUCUUCUAAGUGAUCACUUGAUUCAGAAGAAGUGGUUGUGAGAGCUCAAAGAAUUGAAUGUAGAACGUUGAAUGAACAAUACUUUAUUGUCACGUGACAAAUCACAGUAAUAUUCUUUGUUUUACAUACCCAAACUAUGCAAAGAGUCGCUGCAUAAAGGGUACCGUUGAUAUAGAAACUAGUUGGAAGUAUCAGCCAAAAGGUGUGGAAACAGGAUUUUUGAGAUGGGAUUAUGAAAACAAGUGAACGAUUUUCAGUAUAUUAUCAAGUAUAAAGAAUUACAUGGAGAAUGAAAGAAAGCAAAGAAAUUAUUAAACAUGUAGUUUCUUGCUUACUGCAGCUCCAUCAAAUUGAAGUUUCCCAAAUUGCUGCAUGAGAUACAACAGUCAGUGACCAUGUUAAUGGUGAAUAUGUCAAUGAUGACUGAGCUCAACCUUGAAGCAGUAAACAUGUUCAAUGUAGCCUGGCUGUCUAAACUCGCAAAUUUCAAGCAUAGACUGUUCAUUGCUGCCACAGGAUUGUGAGAACAUUAACAAGGCAUUAGCAACUAUGAGUAAUACUUUAUUCGAGGUAACUGAAAUUUCUGAUGAGGCAAAAAUGCCAUUCUGUGUUGCUUCACUGAUGAGAUAGAUCCCCAUUGAUUGCAGUAUGGCAGAAUGUGUCCUGCCUUGGAUUAACUCACUAUAAAUUAUGCAGAAAUCUUUUAAUUUCACACAUUGUGAUUCCAGAAUUGCCAUUUCCUGCCUUGCUCUCCAAAAGUUGGUAUCACAGUGUGGGUCCGCCAGUGCUGACAGCCAUUUGUCAAAUGUGAGCUUAGUUGGUGAGUGUUGCCAAGUUAUUAGAACAUGGAAAAAAGCCAGACUUAACCCUGUCCUUGUCCAUCUGUCCCACAUAUGCACAUUGCAACCAGGGUAUUGGGAUAGGAACAAGAAAGGGAUUUCUGAGUUGUUUCAUUUUUAAACCUGUGAUCUAUGGGCCGUUUGUAGAAUCUCACAGAAAAUGGGAUGUGUGUGAUUUUGAAAGUGAUUGUUGGAGAAUUUAAUACAACUUUAUUUUGAUCUUAAUAAAAGGUGUAGAUGCAUUGAUAAAAGUCAACUUGAAUUUAAAACUUAUUUCACUAUUUUCAGUCGACGGUGAUGAAACAAAACACUUCAACGGGGAAUGGGCAUUACAUUUCAAAACAACAAAAUGAAUGGUAGAUUCUGGUAUUUGACAAAAAGUCAGCCAUUGCCAAUCAGCUUCCCACAGUAUCCAUCUAAUUGAAACAACAUCUUUUCUUCUGUUCCCUUUACUAAUCCUAUUUUGUUAUUCUUCCAUCUGCUAUUACAAAAAAAAAGACAUUUCAAACUGCCUACAGCUUGUUUUAGACACAUGGAUUAACCUUUUCAGAGGCACUUAAAACUGCACAUGGUAAUAAUAAGCACUCAGAACCAAAGCUCAAAACAGUUUUGUUGGAAAUUUGCUAUUUAAUUAAACCAAAUGAAUUUACAAGGGCCCUAUCAUCACUCACAAUAAUAUUUUCCUCAGUUCUACACCAUAAUACAUUGUUCCUUCAAUGAUUGCUGUGGCUAUUUUAUUGUAAUCAUUGUAUGAGAGUUGACAGGUUGAUCUCUGCAGACUCUUAUAGAGUCAUCAAAAGUGGCUCAUUCCCUGACAGCCUGGAUUGGAUUAUUGCACAUCUAUAAACACAAAGAUGGACUGAACAUCCUGAUUUUGCGCUGUAAUUUUGAUUAUUUCAUUCAUGUCCCUUCUACUAAGCACUUCUCCAUUUCAGCUAAAAUAAGAAACAGGACCAUUUAGUAAAGAGGACUGUUGUUGUGCUUCAGGUCAGAUCGUUCCGUGUUCAACGAGCUGAGUUUCACAGGAGGAGGAUGGCAUUAUAACUUGUAUUCAUGUUUUUGGUAUUAGUAUGCAUGGCCCAUGUGCAUGGACAUUAGAUGAAAUCGCCAUUUAGGUUGGUAGUAUUGCAGCCAUCUUGGAAUUUGCAAAUUAUUUUUUUCUUAAUAUUAUACAAGGUACAAGAAUUAUAGGUCAGCAUGAGCAGCUAAAAAAUAAACAAAGGAAAAAAAGGAAUUGAACUCAGAAUCUGGGAAUCAGAUACAAGGUGCUGCUAACCCAUCACUCUCCUAAGCAUAGUUGGCCUGGUUUUAGCCAGAAUGCCCAAGCUCAAACUAAGCAAAUUUAAUUUAAAGCACAAUGUCAAACAUAAUCAUUCUAACACCAAUGACAUUUUUCCUGGCAAAGCAAAUGUUAUCCCUAUUGUAUUUAUGACGUAGAGUAAAAUAGAUAUUUAAAUUAUCAUGUUGGUUAAUUUAAAAACUCCAUUUAAAAUGUCACAGAGCAAAUUAAAAAUGACGCCCCUGAGUGAGAUUUUACUCCGGCGUUGCUGUG